rnacentral:lncRNA from 1 species
GGCAGUCUCAGGGUCUACCGAAAAGAAGUAACGGAGGGGGAACAUAAUAAAUAACAAAGCAUCACAAAAACGUAACAUGGCAAACGCGGUGCUAGAUGUGCCCUAACGCAGUACUGGGCUAUACUGGCGAAGGGGGAACACCCGGGAAAGUAUUCCCGGUGUUUCGCGUUUUCGGACAGAUGAACUAGAGAGGGAAAGUUGCGUGUUUGCUAUGCUAGGGUUGUGUGGCAGACGAACGGGAUGCAUACUCGGAUUCGUCUCGUCGUUCUGAGCAACUUUCAUGUAUAAAUUAUUUUCAUCCGAGCUACGGAUUAUUUUAUAUUAAUUUUUAAAAUUUAAUUCAUUUUCUAGAAAUUACUGGAUUUAAUUUAAUUCGAAAUUAUAACAGUAAUUAUUUUUGUCUCCUAGUGUUAUUCUAGCCUAUGAGUAUGCCAGUGGGGCCAGUGGGGUGGGUUGACCUAGUCAAAGAUUGAAUAGUCAAAGGAUGAAUAGUGUAGGCUGGUCCCAUAUGCCAUUGUCUCAAAUGUUAAUAAAACAACUCACUAAUUUAAUCAAGGGGGAGUCCCACAUGUCAUCUACUAGUAGAUAACCUAACUACUAAUUAAUCCUAAACUAAUUGGACAUGGCUGGCCACACACACAGAAAACACAUACGCACACACACGGAACACAUAGCUAGGGGUUACUUCUGUUCCCUGUUAACACAACAAAGCAUUUUGCAAUUUUCAUAGGAUUUAAUCCAAGCAUCGAAAGGAUUUAGUCCAGUGGGAUAAAAUGGAGUUUGUCAUGUAUACUUUCUACUCAUAUUAUUUUUACUCAUGUUAGCACUUGAUUAGUUGUUGUUUAGGGGCUGUCCAGAGAGUUACUCAAUGUAAUAUUGGUAAAGCUAGUUGCAUCUACAGUAGUUAGCAGCAGCAGCAGUACAGCAAGCAGGUGGCUGGACAAGGGUGCGUGGUUGCGCGGGCGCAGGCCAGGCGAGGCCAGGGCGGCUGGGUCGCAGCCGGCAGCAGUGCGCGAGCACGGCGCGCGACGUGAGCAGCAGGGAAGAGGAGGCAGCGGCAGUGUUAGCAGCAGAACGCAGAAGCAGCGGUGACAGAGUGCGGGAGGCUGGGUGAGGCCAUGCACGGGCUCUGGGCUGUCCAGGCGGCCGGAGCACGACGACAGCGCGUCCAGGAGGCGGCUGGGCGUGGCCACGAGCACGAGGCGGUCGCGGGCGAGCACGAGGCGGGCGCAGGUUGCUCGGAUGAGGCGCGCGGGCGUGGGGUGGGCGGAGGCGGCCUACGGCGGGGGCUUCGGCGACAGGGGCGAGGGGGAAAAGCGGGGGACGGUGGUGGCUCAUCCCGGGGAGGUCGGGGCGCGCUCGGGGUGGACGGGGCGGCGCUUGAGCGGCGGUUCCGACGAAGAUGACCGGCGGCAGAGGUUGAUGGAGGGCUCGAUCCCGUUGAUGGAGAGGGCCUCGGCUUGAGCCGAAGGGCGGAGCCGACGUGGAUGACGACGGUGGUCCUCCGGGACGUCUCUGUGAGGCGCGGGGUGGAUGGAGGCCGCGGGAUCGAUGGCGCCACGGCGCCAGAGGCGUUCGGGAGAGAGUGAAAGGGAGUGAGGGAGGGAGUGGUUGGUGCUAGGGUUAGGAGGGGAUCGAGGGAGGGAGCCUGCGAUGUUAAGUAGGGCGAGGGGGCGCGGAUGUGCGCCACGACGCCAUGGUGUCCGUGGAUGUGCUCCACGAUGCCCCUGCUACAGGUUGAAGGAGGGAGAGAUGGGCUAACCUGGGUAAGUUGCUAGAUGGGCCAAAAGUGCCCAGUAUCUCAGGUCUUUUGUUUUGUUCUAUUUUUUUGUUUCUGUUAUUUUAGUUUUUAUUAAUACCAAGUUAGCACCUAAAUUAGUAUCAUCAAAUAUAUCACUGCCACCUUAAUUUAUUACCCAAGCUAAAAUAGUUUCAUAAUUAUUUAAUAUUUAAAAGUACUUAAAUAAUAGUUUUUGCUACUGUUUUAUUCACCUUAUAGUAUUUAAACAUUUUAUAAAGGUGUGGUUUCUCCACCAUAAUUUCCUAUGAAAUAUUUGGUUCACUCCGAACAUUAUAGUUUUAAUAUUUGAAAAGUUUUAUUGUCUGCUUGAUUUUGAUUUUGAAUUUGAAUCGGUUUCGAACUAACGCGAGUUUAUCAAUAGUAACCGAGGUGAUGUGGCAUCAUUAGCAUAGGUUACUGUAGCUUAAUUAUCCGGGCGUCACAAUUCUCCUCUCCUACAAGAAAUCUCGUCCCGAGAUUUAAGAGGGGAGUAAGGGGGAAGAAUAGGUUACGAAAUUCCAAUGAUUCUUCCCGGUCUUGGUUGCUCUUCUUGAGGAGGUCGAUCCAUUACAUUGUUGUCUUCAUUUCUCUGCUUCAAGUCCUCAUGAUGAAGUCGUCAUCCUUUCUUCAGGAACUCCAUCGUACUUACGAAAGGAUAGGAGAGAAAACUACAAGGACAGAUGCGUGCAAGGACUGAUAUUCGGUAAUUAGCUCAGGGAUUUUGGCCCAAGCUAUCUCUCGAGUUGAAACUUAGGAGAACAUUGAGAGCAAAGUAAGAAGGUACAAUAAGGAGUUUCAAGCGGAUAGGCAAUCAUUCGAUGCCUGAACGUAGUGUGAAGGGGUUCAGAGCAACGGGAAAUAAGUAUGGUGUCAGAUACCCGAAUUGAUGAUUUCUCGGAAGGUGGCUCGUGAAUUACAUACGAAGCCAAACCUAAGGAAAACAGUGGCGUACAGGAGAGUUAGGUUUCGAUCCUGUGGAACUGUGGGUUAUGGGCCCACCAUGUGGGUUAAAAGUAGGAGCGGUGACAUCUUGCACGGUCGUGAAAGCAAGGCAUGUCUGAGGGUAGCCUGUCAGUUAUGUUGGCAACAACGUCGGUACCAAGGGCGAGGGACAAAGAGAACCAUUUUCGUGCUCGAUGAAACGAGGCGGACCAAUAGGCAAAGUUCUCAUCCAUCGGUGGCUACCGAAAUGUCAUCAACAAUAGUAAUAGGGUCUUGCUGACAGAAUUGUACACCGAGGUGUUUACAUAAGCAUGAGAAUAUUACUGCUUAGAUCAUAUAGACCUCAAGAAAGGUUAAACCAAACAAUGGAAAGGAUAGUGUGUUUAAACACAUGUUUCAGGGGUACAUCCUUUCCCAGGACAAGCAGAGCAUGAUAUCCAUGACAGGAUAGAAGUAGAAAACCUUUUAGGUAAGGGGAGAGGAAAUUGAUGACAUUACCCAAACAACGGUGUUUGGAUAAUUGAUGAAGAAAAUUUAGCAUUGUGCUUCAAAUGUUCUUGUUGAUGAACAAAGUACCACAAACAUGCUUCGAGAUAGCAUUGACAUGGUCACUGGGUAAAUAUCAGACUUUGGACACAUAAUGGAUCCAUCUGGAACAACUCAUAGAAUAAGUCUUACCAUUUUCUCAUGGAAGAAUGGAUAACCUUGUUGAAAAGGAAACUAUAUCAAUAGGGCCUCCGGCCAGGUGUGCUAGGCAUGACAUCACCUUACCGGGUCAUGUAAAUAUGUUAUAACUCCUGGAAAUAUGUUCCAACCAUCAUUUCUGACUGAGAUUCAGAUCUGAUUGGUGUCAGGAUACCUCAGACUCAGCAUGUCUGAGAAGAAAAGGUGCAACACAAAUUGACGAGAUGACAUUGUAAGAUUCUCGGGAAAUGAACUAUGGAAGAGAGUUCUGAAACAAGAGUUCAUCAUUAAAACAAGGAGAGGAUGAGGAGGUGGCUGACGGACUCAGCGGCUAUUCAUCGAGAUUAACAAAAGAAGGAUUUCCACAAUGAUGUGAACAAGGAUUUAACACUUGUCAGAUCAAACGAUAUAAUGAUGUAUGCUCGAGGAAAACAUACACAAUUAAACAUUGGUUGAAAGGUGCACCCGAAAUAUGGGUUGGGUUGCACGACCAACGUCAGAAUGGUGAUUCAAUAAUCAAUAGUCUAAGAAUGAAUGACCGGCCUUUAACUUCAAAGCAAUAGGAUUGCUAGAAGGGCAGAAUCCAAACAGCACCGUUCACUUGUUGGUACCCCGUUAGGAAUCAACUCAAGGACCAAGAAAGAAUGGUGAUGGUGAGAAGUAUCACUAUACCAAGAAUUCUUCAGAGGUGGAGCAAUCCUGACAACACCCUUGUCAUAAAAGACAGUAAUACUUCAAGGUAGAACAUCAUACAAGCUGGAUAGCAAGUUGCAUCCAUAACAUGAACAAGUUUGUGUUGGGGAAGGCAAGAAUGUUUUUGCUGAUAACACAAUCAUCGAGGGACAAGGAUGGUAUUUCCCAUCAUGAAUUUGAUUGAUAUCCUGGAAACGCUCAGAGUGUUGAUUACGAUCACGGCACAUUUGUCGAGAGGUUUCAUGAAGAUGUAAUCGGUCGGCGAUGACAUCAAGUCAAAGGAAUGAUGAAGCAAAAGUUUAUUGGAACCAUGGGUACGACACAAACUUGAAAUCAAGUUUGUUGUUCAAGGAGAAAUGAUAUGAUGAGAAAGAUUGACAUAAGAUUAGCUCACCGUCGAAAAGUUGUGCUCCGGGAAGGACCAAGUAGCACAAUUAAAAUUAGCACGGUAAUGAUGUAGCCGAACAGGCUAGGAAUGACGUGAUCGGGUACAAACUCGUAAGUAAAGAAGAUUACUAAAAGUUGUUGAACCAUAGUGCGGACUCGGUUCAGUUAUCGGUGUCUUUGAGUGUUUAAUAACUCAGAGCCCGUGAAAAAUUGGAAUCAGUGAGAAUGUAGUACUUGAUGAAGAACUCAUAAGAAGUUAUGCAGUUCCGUGAUAAUCUCGAGAUACCAGGGCAGUAAUACUCGACGACAGAUCAAAGUAGAGGUUGGGAAGGCGUACUGAUCUGCAGAAGGCAAGUACUUUAACUUGUCCGAGAAAUAGAAUCAAAGGAGAACAAUCAUGGCCGGAACCACGGUUGCAAAGGAUCAAUUCACAUAUACCAGAUGAUAUUUAUCAAGGAAAUAGUUAUUAUUACAAGAAGUUUCCAUGAUAGGAUCUACAUCAUGUCCAUGGGCAUGAAUACAAAAUUCAAGGUCGACUCCCACUUCUCGACUGCAUUACCUUUCAUUCACUUCUCGUCUUCGACAAAGUUGUAGUGUUGAAGUUUUAUCUAACAUAACAACAGUAGAGUAUGACCUGUAGUAGUUUCCGGGUUCACAUAGAUUAGAAAAGGCAUAGGUUCAAUCCAUCGGGGCAUCUUAGGAACAUAUACCACAAACUUCGGCGUAAAUAAUACAGGCUCGAAAGUAUAGCAUGGGUGACAAAAGGAGAGGAUACAAUUUACCGAAGGCAUUAUGUAUCAGGGAAAGAACUCACAAGAUUUGAAUGUGAAUGAUACCAACGGAUAACAACCCGGCAAUGGGCCUGGCGGUCCACAACGGAGCUGACGUGAGUAUCGGUACUCAAUCAGAGGAAGAAAGAUGCAAAGGCAUCAGAUUAUGCAAACAUCCGAAUACUUCGAUGUUUUAAUAAUCAAAGAAAUUAUGAAUUCCAGAUCGGUGUAUCAGGAUCAGAUGCCCUGAUCAAUUACGAGUAAGAUGAAUAGACUUAGAGGCACAAUCUGUCAAUGUUUGAUUGGCGGAAAAUCAGCUCAUAUCUGGAAUGACAUCUGAGCCAGAAAGAUAACUCCUAAGGAUCAGCUAAUGAUUAUGAGCAAUCACACACGUAUUGAAUCGAGGGACUCAAGAUGAUAAUGACAAAUGACGUCAAGGAAUAUUGCUAGGCAUAUGGAAUUAACCACAAUGUAGCAGGCAAGAAGAAUCUCAUAAGCACUAAGUUGUCAAGGACUCUUGGAAGAUCAAAUGGCAUUUCAAAUUAUGUUGCGAAACACAUGAACAACUGGGGAUGAAUGAAUUCCAGGUAAUUGUGAGGAAUUAUCCGUACAUGUAUUUGUGCGGAAAAGGAACUGCAAGGCCGUAAGCAUAAAGGAUUCUCGGAACAUCAGAAAGUAUUUCAGGGCAUCUUGUAAUAACAAGAGCAACUGGGGAUGAAGGUAUGACUGAGAAGUUAUCCAUAGAGGUGCUCGGUGGUGGUGAAUUUGCAAAGGCGGUGGGCACAAGUGUCUCGGUAAAACAUCGAAUAGCUUCUUCGAAAACUUCUGGUCCACCAGGCGAUCAUCUGUAAUAAGGGGCUCUCCGGGUGGAAGUAGUUACGAGAACCUAGAGUCAGCUUUAGUAAAAUCAUUUAACACGAAUAGAAGAGAGAUCAGAGGCCCAGAGUAUAGGUCGAGAAAUAAAAGAUCCUAAUACCACCCAAUGGCGACGUGGGCCCGUAAGGCACACAAGUAUGUUAGUAAAAGUUUUGUACUAUCUAGACUCGACUUCGGCCAAGGUGUGUGGAAGGGGGAUUCCUACAGGCAGUCGGCUCUGAUACCAACUCGUGAUGCCCCCGAUUUGACAGUACACUAAUCAUGCAAGCAAACGUGUACGAUCAAGAUCAGGGACUCACGGGAAGAUAUCACAACACAACUCUAAAACAUAAAUAAGUCAUACAAGCAUCAUAAUACAAGCCAGGGGCCUCGAGGGCUCGAAUACAAGUGCUUGAUCAUGGACGAGUCAGCGGAAGCAACAAUAUCUGAGUACAGACAUAAGUUAAACAAGUUUGCCUUAAGAAGGCUAGCACAAACGGGGAUACAGAUCGAAAGAGGCGCAGGCCUCCUCCCUGGGAUCCUCCUAACUACUCCUGGUCGUCGUCAGCGGGGUGCACGUCAUAGUAGGCACCUCCGGGGUAGUAGGAGUCAUCGUCGACGGUGGCGUCUGGCUCCUGGGCUCCAGCAUCUGGUUGCGACAACCAGGUAGAAAGGAAAGGGGGAAAAGAGGGAGAAAAGCAACUGUGAGUACUCAUCCAAAGUACUCGCAAGCAAGGAGCUACACUACAUAUGCAUGGGUAUAUGUAUAAAGGGCCAUAUCGGUGGACUGAACUGCAGAAUGCCAGAAUAAGAGGGGGGUAGCUAAUCCUGUCAAAGACUACGCUUCUGGCCACCUCCAUCUUGCAGCACGUAGAAGAGAGUAGAUUGAAGUUCACCAAGUAGCAUCGUAUAGCAUAAUCCUACCCGGCGAUCCCCUCCUUGUCGCCCUGUUAGAGACCGAUCACCGGGUUAUAUUUGGCACUUGGAAGGGUGUGUUUUAUUAAGUAUCCAGUUCUAGUUGUCAUAAGGUGAAGGUACAACUCCGGGUCGUCCUUUUACCGAGGGACACGGCUAUUCGAAUAGAUAAAGUUCCCUGCAGGGGUGCACCACAUAACCCAACAUGCUCGAUCCCAUUUGGCCGGACACACUUUCCUGGGUCAUGCCCGGCCUCGGAAGAUCAACACGUCGCAGCCCCACCUAGGCUCAACAGAGAGGUCAGCACGCCGGUCUAAAUCCUAUGCGCGCAGGGGUCUGGGCCCAUCGCCCAUUGCACACCUGCACGUUGCGUACGCGGCCGGAAGCAGACCUAGCCUAGCAGGCGUUCCAGUCCAAUCCGGCGCGUGCCGCUCCAUCGCUGACGUCAAGAAGAGCUUCGGCUGAUACCACGACGUCGAGUGCCCAUAACUGUUCCCGCGUAGUUGGUUAGUGCGUAUAGACCAAAUGGCCAGACUCAGAUCAAAUACCAAGAUCUCGUUAAGCGUGUUAAGUAUCCGCGAACGCCGACCAGGGCCAGGCCCACCUCUCUCCUAGGUGGUCUCAUCCUGCCCUGUCGCUCCGCUACAAAGUAACAGUCGGGGGCUGUCAGGAACCCAGGCCCACCUCUACCGGGAUGAAGCCACCUGUCCUUUCAGCCCCCUCAUCAGAAUCACUUGCGGGUACUCAACGAGCCGACCCGACUUUAGUCACCACAUGUGUCAUGUAUAUAAAGUAUAUAGUAUAUACCCGUGAUCACCUCCCGAAGUGAUCACGGCCCAGUAGUAUAGCAUGGCAGACGGACAAGAGUGUAGGGCCACUGAUGGAACACUAGCAUCCUAUACUAAGCAGUAGGAUAGCAGGUAAGGUUAACAACUGUAGCAACAAUGACAGGCUAUGCAUCAGGAUAGGAUUAACGGAAAGCAGUAACAUGGUACACUACUCUAAUGCAAGCAGUAUAGAGAAGAAUAGGCGAUACCUGGUGAUCAAGGGGGGGGGGGGGCUUGCCUGGUUGCUCUGGCAAGGAGAGGUCGUCAACACCGUAGUCGAACUGGGGGUCGCCGGCAGUCUCAGGGUCUACCGGAAAGAAGUAACAGAGGGGGAACAUAAUACAUAACAAAGCAAUCAAAGCAUCAGAAAAACGUAACAUGGCAAACGCGGUGCUAGAUGUGCCCUAACGCAGUACUAGGCUAUACUGGCGAAGGGGGAACACCCGGGAAAGUAUUCCCGGUGUUUCGCGUUUUCGGACAGAUGAACCGGAGAGGGAAAGUUGCAUGUUUGCUAUGCUAGGGAUGUGUGGCAGACGAACGGGAUGCAUACUCGGAUUCGUCUCGUCGUUCUGAGCAACUUUCAUGUAUAAAUUAUUUUCAUCCGAGCUACGGAUUAUUUUAUAUUAAUUUUUAAAAUUUAAUUCAUUUUCUAGAAAUUACUGGAUUUAAUUUAAUUCGAAAUUAUAACAGUAAUUAUUUUGGUCUCCUAGUGUUAUUCUAGCCUAUGAGUAUGCCAGUGGGGCCAUUGGGGUGGGUUGACCUAGUCAAAGAUUGAAUAGUCAAAGGAUGAAUAGUGUAGGCUGGUCCCAUAUGGCAUUGUCUCAAAUGUUAAUAAAACAACUCACUAAUUUAAUCAAGGGGGAGUCCCACAUGUCAUCUACUAGUAGAUAACCUAACUACUAAUUAAUACUAAACUAAUUGGACAUGGCUGGAAAUUAGUCAUGGCUGGCCACACACACAGAAAACACAUACGCACACACACGGAACACAUAGCUAGGGGUUACUUCUGUUCCCUAUUAACACAACAAAGCAUUUUGCAAUUUUCAUAGGAUUUAAUCCAGGCAUCGAAAGGAUUUAGUCCAGUGGGAUAAAAUGGAGUUUGUCAUGUAUUCUUUCUACUCAUAUUAUUUUUACUCAUGUUAGCACUUGAUUAGUUGUUGUUUAGGGACUGUCCAGAGAGUUACUCAAUGUAAUAUUGGUAAAGCUAGUUGCAUCUACAGUACUUAGCAGCAGCAGCAAUACAGCAAGCGGGUGGCUGGACAAGGGUGCGUGGUUGCGCGGGCGCAUGCCAGGCGAGGCCAGGGGCUGGGUCGCAGCCGGCAGCAAUGCGCGAGCAUGGCGCGCGAUGUGAGCAGCAGGGAAGAGGAGGCAGCAGCAUUGUUAGCAGCAGAACGCAGAAGCAGUGGUGACAGGGUGCGGGAGGCUGGGUGAGGCCACGCACAGCUCUGGGCUGUCCAGGCGGCCGGAGCACGACGACAGCGCGUCCAGGAGGCGGCUGGGCGUGGCCACGAGCACGAGGCGGUCGCGGGCGAGCACGAGGCGGGCGCAGGUUGCCCGGGUGAGGCGCGCGGGAGUGGGGUUGGCGGAGGCGGCCUACGGCGGGGGCUUCGGCGACAGGGGCGAGGGGGAAAAGCGGGGAACGGUGGUGGCUCACCCCGGGGAGGUCGGGGCGCGCUCGGGGUGGACGGGGCGGCGCUUGAGCAGCGGUUCCGACGAAGAUGACCGGCGGCAGAGGUUGAUGGAGGGUUCGAUCCCGUUGAUGGAGAGGGCCUCGGCUUGAGCCGAAGGGCGGAGCCGACGUGGACGACGACGGUGGUCCUCCUUGACGUCUCCGUGAGGCGCGGGGUGGAUGGAGGCCGCGGGAUCGACGGCGCCGCGGCGCCAGAGGCGUUCGGGAGAGAGUGAAAGGGAGUGAGGGAGGGAGUGGUUGGUGCUAG